rnacentral:lncRNA from 1 species
AGGCCUGCCCUAAGAGUCUGAGACAGGAGAACACACGUCUACAGAGAGCCUGCCUAGAGUCUGGAUUUUUUAAGCUGCUGGAUACCAGGUGCUACCUGACACCAGCUCAUCCCCUGCCUCUAGAGUCCUGGAGGGCUUUGAGUUGAUCACUUUCCACUCCAGGAAUGUUAUAAGAAACCGCUCAGAAAGGUGAUUGCAAAUCUAUGGAUGAGACCAAGGGAGAAUUUUCACGCCAUCAUAGCAUUUUAUUCCUCACCUGACUGGGAGCAGCUCGAAGGGAAGGACAUGUCUCCAAAGACAUGAGGAGUAUUCAACGUGGCAUUCGAGGCGCAAGGAAAAACCUGCCUAUCCCAAGAUCUCAGCCCCAUCAGCCAGCCAAGGGAUCCACAAUGACCCUUAUGAAGUUUCAUAAGGAAGCUAAUUGCUUAAAUGAGAUUUGAGUCAAGAAGGAUGACCUAGCAAUAACCUCUAUAUAUCUCAUUAUGCCAAAACUUAAAUGGCUACAUAAGAGGACAGUCCAGUGACAGACAUGGAAAGAGGCUUAGAGGUCAUCUCAUUCAUCACACCAUUUUACAGAGGAAAGCAAAAUGCCAUCCAGAGAAGGAAAGUCACAAAGCCAUCUAACCCCAGACCUGGGAGUAGCAGCUGAUCACAGCGGGUCGGACACAAGAAGCUGCUUCCAAAAAUCUUUCCUUCCAUUUGUCCUACAGAGAAGACAUCAGAAAACAAAAUUUUAUAAGCAUGUCUCUAGCUCUAACUCACUAUUCAACUAAAGGACAAAUUAAAUAGGGAAUGAGAUAACCUUAACUUCAUGAGAUUUGUUCUUAUAUGCAGUUUUCUACCCUGAGAAACCAAUCUAUGCUAAAGAUAAUAUUUGUGCUUUUCAAUGAGGCUGGUAAAAUAUUUGCACUUUGAAGCUCAGAGCGAUAACAUUUAUUCAUUCGGGUGAAACUUAUCAGGAUUAGGUAAAUAUAAUCGAAGCAAAACAAAAAUGAUUUGGGAAACUUUGUGACCAAAACCAACAGGCGUAUUCAGUACUCCUUUGAAGGUCACCUAAUUCUAAUAACAUUUAUAUUUAUAAAUGUCCUCUAAGUCUUUUAUCUUCUGCAAAUAAAUUAUUUCUCACAA